rnacentral:lncRNA from 1 species
UUUGUGCUGCUGGCGUAGGUGCUAUGUGAAGUGCUAUGAUCACAAACAGUCAUUGACCUCCCCCUGGGGAAAUCAGGGUGAUGGACAUAGGUAGUGUACACAAGUAGCUAAGUUGGGGACCAAUUUUUAGGAAUAAACUGAAGAUCUGGAGAAAGCUAUUUGGGGAGGCCUAUGUGUUCAGUUUGGAGAAUCAGUCUUCAUGAGCGAUCUCACUGGGCACAUGGCAAAGACGUAAGCCUGUCUCAAAAUGCAGAAAAGAUAAAGCCAUGCGCUCGGGUAAAUUAAUGCCUUUAAGAAGCAGAGAGCAAUGGCAGUAGUAGUCCUUGUUCACAAAUGUCUCCUACUUUUCAGGCACUAAGGCCUUGGCUGGAGUAGAGGUUAUAAAACUCUCUCUUAAAGGACCAGAUGAUGAAAGUCUUUGUUUUAUGGACGGUAUCCCUUUGGAUAAUAUUCUCCUGCCAGUCUACACUUAUAAGCAGUUCACUGACUUCAAUUGCCAUGAAGAAUGAUGAUCUUCAAAUUACCUCAGAAAACUCUCCAAUGAAUGUCACAGUCUUUACACAAGCAGAAUUCACCAUGGUCCUCUCCCAGAGUUCAUUCUCCUAAUAAACUACGACAUUGUGCACCCUACCUGUGACUUUCUCCACCUUGCUAGUGGUCACCCAUUCCCCGGAACAAAGGAUCUACCCUAGACCUAAAUCAGCACAUUCCAAAUCUGCAUGGCACAACCCUCCCUCCUGCAAUGGUGUUCUAAGUGGUCUUUUAAAUAAACUUUUUUUGAAGUUAUGAAAUGGCAGAGUAAUGAAACAAAAUUAGUAUUAUAAGCCUAUGCUUUUUUUAAAAGUUCCAUAAAAAUCAGACUCAGAUGUGUAAACAUCAUAUUGUCUCCUUAGUGUAGGAACCUGACAGACUAGGUAAAACUCAAAACAUACAACAGAUGGUAGCAAAGGGAAAGAAAUU